CAUUAGAUGGCUGAAAUUUUAAGCAUUGAUCUCUUAAAUCAAUUUAUAGUAAACUAAAAAAUUACUUCUAAUGA